UGUACAUUCAGACCAAACAAGACACCAUAGUCUGUUUACGUUAGGCCAAACAAGACACCAUCGUUUGUGUAUGUUCAGGCCAAACAAGACACCAUGGUCUGUGUACAUUAAGGCCAAACAAGACACCAUGGUCUGUGUACAUUAAGGCCAAACAAGACACCAUGGUCUGGGAAACAUAUGAUU